rnacentral:piRNA from 1 species
CUGAAACUGUUUGGUGGACCU